UACGGAGGGUGCAAGCGUUAUCCGGAUUCACUGGGUUUAAAGGGUGCGUAGGCGGGCAGGUAAGUCAGUGGUGAAAUCUUUGGGCUUAACCCGAGAACUGCCAUUGAUACUAUCUGUCUUGAAUAUUGUGGAGGUUUGCGGAAUAUGUCAUGUAGCGGUGAAAUGCUUAGAUAUGACAUAGAACACCUAUUGCGAAGGCAGCAAACUACGCAUAUAUUGACGCUGAGGCACGAAAGCGUGGGGAUCAAACAGG
rnacentral:rRNA from 1 species